rnacentral:misc_RNA from 1 species
UCCGGUUUGACACCGGCAGUCCCGUUAGAGUCCCCGGCGCCCGAGGGCCCGCUGGCAACUAACGGUAGGGGUUUCGCUCGUUAAGGGACUUAACCCGACACUUCACAGCACGAGCUGACGACAGCCAUGCAGCACCUGUGCACGUUCCACUCAAAGAGCGUCACUUCUGUUUCUAGAAGCUAAUCCGUGCAUGUCAAACCCUGGUAAGGUUCUUCGCGUUGCUUCGAAUUAAGCCACAUGCUCCACCGCUUGUGUGAGCCCCCGUCAAUUCCUUUGAGUUUUAGCCUUGCGACCGUACUCCCCAGGCGGUGUACUAAAUGCUUUCGCGUCGGCCGUGCUGGUGUCAGAACCCUCACGACCCAGUACACAUCGUUUACGGCGUGGACUAC